AAAAAAAAAAGGAAAAAAAAAAAAAAAAAGGAGCGAGAGAAGGCGCGAGCGCCGCGCGGUGCAGCGCGAUGCAAUAAUGCAACGCACGGCUCGGCACGGCACGGCACGGCACGGCACAGCGCUCCAGCCCGGCCCGGGUUCCUUACCUUGAGCACAGGAUGAGCCGCGAGCCCCCCUCGGCUUUGGGCUCUGCCGGAACAAAGACUGAUCGGCAUUUGGGAUGAAGGAGGUGUGCACAUGGUGGGAUGUUUUUGCAGUAGCUGGGCACAACAAUGUACUUGAGAGCUUUGAGUUUUUCUCACCUGGAUUAGCGCUGAGGAUAGAUAAUAAAGGUGCAUUAUAGAUCCA